GGCACAGCCCCAGCCCCGAACCUUCCCAGGGCCACAUGGGGACAGAGCCGGCCUAGGCUCACGCUCUGCAGCCUCCAGCUGUUCGGCUCUUCUACAUUCUUUCAUGAUUGUGUUUACUUAUCUGACUGGUCACAUUCACCCUGGGAAGCCAUCCUGGUCUUUGAGGAGCCGUGCAGUACGCAGGCCCUACGCCAGCACAGCAGACUGACGCUUUCUCCUGUAACCCGUCAGAAUUUGCCGGUGUGCAUUUACCGCCUGCGUCCUGCGUGUCUUCUCCAGUAGACUGCACUACACUGCUCUCCUCCCACACAUCCUCCGGAGCUGGCCUCAGCGCUGGUCCUUGGCAGGACCUUGAAAAAUCUUUGCAAAUGUCAACCACUUACAUUUUUUACUGUUCUCAUAGCUGGAAACCAAAAUUCUCUGGAACCAAGAGAACUGUUUAGGUUUAUGGUGUUGUUUAGGUACAUAUCAUCAGGAGGCUGAGGCAGGAGGAUUGCUACUUUCAGGCCAGCCUGGAUAACUUAGACCCUGUCUCAAAGUUUAAAAGGGAAGCUAUAUAUGAGGAUAUAGCUCAGUGUUUCCUGGAUUCAGUCCCCAGGACUAUGCACACACACACACCCACAAACCCACACUACAGUACACUUAGGUAUGUACACACAUGGCCCCAGAUAUUAGUGUCUUACUGCAAUAACUUCCAGUUGCUCAUGGGACAAGGUCCUAACUUAAAUAGCAAAGCAGUCAUUGAACUCUGGAGGUUUACAGUCAAGGAGGUUGUCUGGGAUCAGAAAACAAAUACAUUACGCAGGACAUAUGGAGACGAAUUUUUAAAAAAUGGAAUAGAAUGCAAAUACUAGAUUAUCAUCCUGCAACACAUACCCGCUUUUCCGUCUCUCACAAGUGCUAGAAUCUACGCGUUAGCAGAUUCUUUCCCACUAACCAACCCUGCCUUUGCAUCUUGUUUGUACCAGGAAGAGUGAGAGGGGCAGCUGAGAGAAGUUCCAACGUGUUUAUCCUCAAGUGAUGUUUAAGAUUCCGGGCUAACAAAAGUCUGGCAGUGAGUCUGUGUUACCUGCUGCUAGAUUCACGCUUUUAGCGAACACAUCAUAUAAACAUCUACCAACUCGAGGAUUCCCUGCUGGGAAGAGGGAACCAUGGCAGGGCAGGGCCUCCCUCCUCCACGGUGCCAGGGACAGGUCUGGCACUGCAGAGUGAACAGGACAGGCAGACACGUGGCUGUUGGGCUGCGGAAGAACCAGUGUUCUGGCGGUUCAUAAAAGGAACACAUCACACCAAGUCCCUCUUUCUUAUCUCUUACAUCCACUGCUGAUGCUUGAACAGCAGGGAGGAGUGAUAACACACUCAUGGAUUUGUUUAGGAAGCGAGCACUUCCUGUGGUAACAUCAGACAUGGCUCCUUCUUCCACCGAGCUCUAAUUCUCCAGAGAGCCACUCCACCCACAAGCAGCAGGGUAAUCGCUUCUCCUCUGGAUGAACCUGUGAUCACUGUCUCAAACACUGGAAAUGCGCCCUCAUCAAUUGGCACAGAAUAACUCUGAAUGGCAGAGAAAUCCUUAUCUUUACAGGUUAAAAGUUCCACUUUCCGCCUAAACAAAUAAAAUAGCGCAAAAAUAGAUCCGGCUGGCAACAGUUAGCAAAUAACUCUGAAAAUCACGUGUUGCAGAUAAAUUACUCUUAACCAGUUCUUUAAAUAUCAUGAUUAAUUUUAAUCCAUAAUCCCCACUUGUCACAACAGAGAAUUCAAUUCUUUUAAAAAUAAUAAGAGGGGCUGGGGAUUUAGCUCAGCAGCAUAAGCGCCUUGUCUUACAAGUGUGUGGUCGUGAGUUCCAUCCCCAGUACCGAUAAAAAAGAAAAAGACAAAAAAAAAAAAAAAAUCAGCACAUAGUAAUUAUACACCAAUUAUACAGGGGACAGGGUGACAUGUCGGUACAUGUAUACAAUGUGUGACAAUCCGAUCACAGCAAUUCACAUAUCUAUCUUGUUAAACAAGAAUGAAUUUUUUUAAUGCAUUGGUAAAAAUGUGGAAUUUUGGAAACACCAAACAUAUUUCUGUUAGGAAAUUAACUGGUCAAUAAUAUAAUCAAGAUCCAAUCACGUAUAGACAAAGCAAUCCUGAGCAACAAGAGCAAAGCAGAAGGCACUUCAGACAAUGGAGUACUACUCAGCCAUAAAGAAGGAUAAAAUUGAGGCUUUUAUAGGAAAGUAGAUACACCAUGAGGCCAUAAUACUAUGUGAAAAACAACAGACACAGAAACAGGAAACAGAGAGGAAGGAGGGGAAGGGAAAGGGAAGUCAAAGGAUAAGAUGCAACGUGUAAAUGUACCUCUUUUUCACUGUGAACAUAUUUUGCAUCUCAAGCAAAAAUAUAUUAGAAAGAAAUUACUAGAAAGAAAAGACUCACACAUAGAGAGUGGUGGGCCUUGGGGUGCAAGGGCCAAAGCCCAGAAGCCAGGUGAGGAAAGCGUUUCCAGGAGGAGGGGUCAGGAGUGACCCGGUGCUGCGGAAAGCUCAUUAUGAGUCCCAGGGACCGUGACCCUGGAGAGGGAGACAGCAGCUUGGCUCAGGAGCAGAGGCACAGAGUAAAGAAGCAGGGAGUGGGCCCAAGCGACUCUUAGAAGGAGUCUUACGAUACGACAAAAGGGAGCAGAGUGAUACGGAGCUGGACAGGGACGAAGGCCAAAGGCUUUGCUUUUAAAGAUGCAGAACAAAAUCACCCAAGUGCGCUGAUGGCAAACACCAAGCGGAAAGAAAGCAUGAACAGCACAAACCCGUGAGGGCAUCACGCCUGCUAAGGGGGAGCCGGGUGGGGAGCGGCUGGGACGCCGGGGCUCUGUGUAAAUAAACGGGAGGUGACCGGUCAGCAUGGCUGUCCAGUCACAUUUAGCCACUGUUUACAAAUGUCCAAGUUUUAAAUGAAAGCUGUAUGUAAGUUAAUUUAUUCCAUAUUCUCUCAAUGCUUACAUUUGCCCUUUUUCUUUCCCAUUUGGUGAGAUGUAGCUUUCUGUUCAGCAGCUUUGUGUGGUCUUGACGUAACGUUAGCCUGGCUCCAGCUCCUCGCCGGGCCAAUGCCCGCGUGGGCACCUGUGCCUUUCUCCUCUCCCUGUGGCACCCUUGCUUUGCCGUCUGCUCACCCUCACCGUAUCCUCACAUGCUCGAUCUCCGCGUCCUCCCCACGGGUACAGGUCCCUGCACUUCUGCCUCGUCUCUUUGGGAAGGAGAGACACCAUCUUCCUGAGGCUCUGGAAGGGGCACUUUGGUCUGAAGUCACUAAAGGACUCGUCACUUUGGCCACCGCGGCUUCCAAGCUCAGCUCCUUGGGUGUAAGCGUCAAGCAGCAGAGCAACGGACUGGACAAAGGCUGCUGUUUUUCUGGGUGAGGACAACAGGAUGAAUGGGACAAGGUCGCGGUGGUAAUGAUGGAGCGCACGCUUGCAGCUGAAUAAAAGGGACAGGCACGGAUGCAGGGAACGGGCGGCGAGGAGCCAAGACGCAUGACGGAUGGGAGGCCUCUGCUGGGCUGAAGAACCAUCUAAGUGGGACGAGGAAGAGGUAGCCAGGCUAAGAGUCGGCGUGGACAGGAGCGGAUGGACCAACCAAGGAAAGAGAAGAAAGAGCUACUGCGUCUCCAGAUGGGGCUGUCACAGGAUCACAGCACAGCCCAACAGCAACCAAGGGAAAUUAACACGUGAGCACGAAAGGCAAGCUCGGGGCCACACUCACGGCCACACUCCCGUUUCCGAAUGUCAGUAAUCUUUGUCUGCUUAUCAAAUGGAAAACAACUGGCUUCUCAGAGGCUGCAGGCAUGCUUUUAGGAGUCCAAUGGGAGGUAUAAAGUAACAAAGCACCUUCCUUCCUCUGCUUAAGAAAUCCAGUGUACCCUACUCGGAGCUGUGUCCUUUGCUUUCUGGCUGAAGGGUUACCACUGUGUUGACUACGGUGACCGUCACUUGGUAACAUGCAGCCCUUUAAUUACACACGUAGACAUUCCGAAGCAACAGUCUUGUUUUUGCCUGUAGUAAGACUUUACAAAAAUAGCAUUGUCCUGGCACCUUCUGGCAUUUUCUGUUAACGAACGUGGUUAGAUUUGUCCAUGGUGAUGUAUGUAAGUCCCUUAUUCACAGGGCGCACGGCUUCCACUGACUGUGCCACGGCUCCUCCAUCCCUCCUACGCUAGGUGGCAAUGACUGCCACGGGCAGCGUUCUUGUGCACAAGAAUGAAUUUUAUCUCAAGUGGGGUAACUAAGUCACUAUUUUAGAGUAGGGCUGCUCAAAAUGGUGGGGUCGACUGGCUUUCUACCAGCAGAAGUCUCUCUUUUACCUACAAAGUCACCAAUACUUGAUUGAUAGACACACUAGAAUUCGUCAAAAUUAUAAGCAGAAAAUCGUACCUCAUGGCUUUAAUUUCACUGUUUCUUCGAUUCCUGGUAACCUGGGUGUGUUCUGUAUGUACACUGAAGGUUUUCUGCACAUAGCCUACUUAAAUCUCUUGCUACUUUUCGACUGGUCUACUUCUUGUUUUUUCUAAUUUAUAUCCAAAAGUUCUCUAUUCUGGAUACUGAUAUUUUGUUCUUUACAUGCAUGACACAUUUCCUGUGGUUUGUCUUCACUCUUAUUCUGUGAGUUUUUCUGAUUUCCAAAA